AGUGGAAUAGCUGGGUCAUGUGGUGUUCCAUUCCUAGUUUUUUAAGGAAUCUCCAUACUUCUUUCCAAAGUGUUUGUACUAAUUAUAAUCCCACCAACAAU
rnacentral:pre_miRNA from 1 species